UUCUUGGUAUCAAGGUGAAGAUUAUGCUUGACUGGGACCCCAAGGGCAAGCUUGGCCCUACCACCCCGCUGCCUGACCUUGUCACCAUCCACCCCCCGAAGGAGGAGGACGAGCUGCGCCCACCGGCUUUGGUUGAGGUCUAAAGUCCCAAUAGAGCAAGCAGACCAUGAAACGGCACAUCAUUUUGGUCCUAGCUACUUUUCUAUCCCUGUGAUAAGCGAGGGCUAUGCAACGCUUGGUUACCUACCUUACCUUUUAAUGGACAAAAGUUUCUGUGUAAUGCUUCUAUGUUAAUUUCGUUUAAACUAAGUUUUGCCGAGACAAGUUACUUAUGUAUGCCAGAAACCUUUGUUUGGAUUGAUUCUGCCCAGCUAGUUUGUUGCUCUUCGUUUGUGCCACCUUUUUACUGUUUGUUAUGUCUUCUUAUGCGUUCAUUCCGUAUCCACCUUUUUACAAUCAUAAUUUGUUUUUUCAGAAUUUUUAAAAAUAAUAAUU
rnacentral:lncRNA from 1 species